rnacentral:rRNA from 1 species
GAUGAACGCUGGCGGCGUGCCUAAUACAUGCAAGUCGAGCGAACAGACGAGGAGCUUGCUCCUCUGACGUUAGCGGCGGACGGGUGAGUAACACGUGGAUAACCUACCUAUAAGACUGGGAUAACUUCGGGAAACCGGAGCUAAUACCGGAUAAUAUAUUGAACCGCAUGGUUCAAUAGUGAAAGACGGUUUUGCUGUCACUUAUAGAUGGAUCCGCGCCGCAUUAGCUAGUUGGUAAGGUAACGGCUUACCAAGGCGACGAUGCGUAGCCGACCUGAGAAGGUGAUCGGCCACACUGGAACGGAGACACGGUCCAGACUCCUACGGGAGGCAGCAGUAGGGAAUCUUCCGCAAGGGGCGAAAGCCUGACGGAGCAACGCCGCGUGAGUGAUGAAGGUCUUCGGAUCGUAAAACUCUGUUAUUAGGGAAGAACAAAUGUGUAAGUAACUAUGCACGUCUUGACGGUACCUAAUCAGAAAGCCACGGCUAACUACGUG